rnacentral:misc_RNA from 1 species
GCCGGAGGGGGACGCACCCCUCUCAGUGCGUGGCAUCUCAGGGUCCAGUGCACCCCCACUCUGUGUGUUUGUGUGGGGAAGCCGAGCCGCCCCCCUAUCCCCUGCCGAUGCCGCACCGCUUCUGGCCGUAGCAGGGUCAGGCACCUACCUACGUAGGGAGCUCGUAGCAAUGUAUCGCUGCUGAUGCCGGCGGUGAGGCCGCGGAUGGCGUUGCGUGUGAGAGAUCCCCGACAGUGGGCACGCGUGUACCACCCGUGUGAUGGGGAGGGUGUCGGCGUGACUCGAAUGUAUCCCGCCCGGCCCUCGCACUGCCUCCCGGUGCGGGGAGCCUGAGUCACCGGGAGGGGGAUGAACCAGGUGGCGACCGACACGAUGUGCGCGGCUGUGAGGUGCCCUGUGAAGCAGGGGCGGGCAGAGUGUGAGGCAGGGGCCCUGCUCUCAGAUGACUGUGUCGACGGCUGCUUCGCACGAGGCGAUGGGGCCCUGUGGCAGGCCGAGUGGAGUAGUGUAUGGCUGAUGCGCUGCGGCAGAGAAGUGGGCACGCUGAUCAAAAAACCGGAUAGGGGCCCUUCGGACUUGCCACCGUGACAAACACCCAAAAGACACGCCACAAAUCUUUUUUUUUUAUGGGGCAAUUCUGCAGCAAACACUCCAAGACGUAUUUGCAUGCAACCACAGCUCGACUACCUCCACGGCACCAUGGCUGAAUCCUCGUCGUCUAGGACGUACCGUCUGCCAUUGACGUGAUGCAUGCAUCUAAAAGGCUGCUUGGUUCUUCUCGGUCUCCUUUUUUCUUUGGGUGCGUGCUGCGCUUCAGCAGGACGGCGCUGCAAAGAAAACUGCGAACCCCCCUUUGGGGGGGGGCUAACACUUGCUUAGAGUGACUCAGCGCCGCACUGAUACUCGUGCGAGUUUCUCGCUCUCUCGACCUCCUUAGCCCUUCACCUCUGACGCGUGCGCGCCUACUGUCUGGAGCUCUCCCCUCUCCGCUGCUUCUGCUGCUCUGUCUGACGACGCCGCUGGGGAGGGGGAUCAGCUGGCAAAGGACUGCGGCGCCCUUUCAUGCAAUGCGUGCCCGGAGAGAAAGUGACGGGACGGAGUGUGCUCCUGCUGAAACUUUCGCUGACCCUUCAGCGCCAGUGCUGGGUCUUCGAAACAAAAAGCGACACGGCCCUCGUGUAUCUUUCCCCCCUUUUCCUCCAUUCGCAGCGCUUCUUCAACUCAUCUGCCUUCUCUCGUCUACCUCUCUCUUCGCCUUCGCCCUUGUGGUGCGUCCGCUCUCCGCACUCUACUGCCCUGCCGGGGCAUGACGGUGCCCCCUUGCCCAUCCAUGAUGGCCGUGCGCACAUCCAUGCCGACUCGCUCGCAUACACACCCACCAACUGCUGUCGGGGCUGCGCAG